GUAACAAGGUUUCCGUAGGUGAACCUGCGGAAGGAUCAUUAACGAAUAACUAUGGCGUUGGUUGUAGCUGGCUCCUCGGAGCAAUGUGCACGCCCGCCAUUUUUAUCUUUCCACCUGUGCACCGACUGUAGGUCUGGAUACCUCUCGCCUCCGGGCGGAUGCGAGGGUUGCUCGUAAGGGCUUCCCUUGAACUUCCAGGCUCUACGUCUUUUUACACACCCCAAUAGUAUGAUGCAGAAUGUAGUCAAUGGGCUUCUCAGCCUAUAAAACACUAUACAACUUUCAGCAACGGAUCUCUUGGCUCUCGCAUCGAUGAAGAACGCAGCGAAAUGCGAUAAGUAAUGUGAAUUGCAGAAUUCAGUGAAUCAUCGAAUCUUUGAACGCACCUUGCGCUCCUUGGUAUUCCGAGGAGCAUGCCUGUUUGAGUGUCAUUAAAUUCUCAACCUCACCAGUUUUCUGAACUGACUGAGGCUUGGAUGUGGGGGUUUGUGCAGGCUGCCUCACCGGCGGUCUGCUCCCCUGAAAUGCAUUAGCGAGGUUCAUGCUGGACCUCCGUCUAUUGGUGUGAUAAUUAUCUACGCCGUGGACGAGGAUACAGACUCGCUUCUAACCGUCCGCGAGGACAAUACCUUGACAAUUUGACCUCAAAUCAGGUAGGACUACCCGCUGAACUUAAGCAUAUCAA
rnacentral:rRNA from 1 species